rnacentral:rRNA from 1 species
GAUGAACGCUGGCGGCGUGCCUAAUACAUGCAAGUCGAGCGGUAAGGCCCUUCGGGGUACACGAGCGGCGGACGGCUGAGUAACACGUAGGAACGUACCCCAAACUGAGGGAUAAGCACCGGAAACGGUGUCUAAUACCGCAUGUGCUCUUCGGAGUAAAGCUACGGCGGUUUGGGAACGGCCUGCGCAUGAUUAGCUUGUUGGUGAGGUAAUGGCUCACCAAGGCGACGAUCAUUAGCUGGUCUGAGAGGAUGAUCAGCCAGACUGGGACUGAGACACGGCCCAGACUCCUACGGGAGGCAGCAGUAGGGAAUUUUCCACAAUGGGGGCAACCCUGAUGGAGCAACGCCGCGUGCAGGAUGAAUGCCUUCGGGUUGUAAACUGCUUUUAUCUGUGACGAUUAUGACGGUAGCAGAUGAAUAAGGAUCGGCUAACUCCGUGCCAGCCGCCGCGGUAA